AGUGGCGAACGGGUGAGUAACACGUGAGUAACCUGCCCUUAACUCUGGGAUAAGCCUGGGAAACUGGGUCUAAUACCGGAUAUGACUCCUCAUCGCAUGGUGGGGGGUGGAAAGCUUUUUGUGGUUUUGGAUGGACUCGCGGCCUAUCAGCUUGUUGGUGAGGUAAUGGCUCACCAAGGCGACGACGGGUAGCCGGCCUGAGAGGGUGACCGGCCACACUGGGACUGAGACACGGCCCAGACUCCUACGGGAGGCAGCAGUGGGGAAUAUUGCACAAUGGGCGCAAGCCUGAUGCAGCGACGCCGCGUGAGGGAUGACGGCCUUCGGGUUGUAAACCUCUUUCAGUAGGGAAGAAGCGAAAGUGACGGUACCUGCAGAAGAAGCGCCGGCUAACUACGUGCCAGCAGCCGCGGUAAUACGUAGGGCGCAAGCGUUAUCCGGAAUUAUUGGGCGUAAAGAGCUCGUAGGCGGUUUGUCGCGUCUGCCGUGAAAGUCCGGGGCUCAACUCCGGAUCUGCGGUGGGUACGGGCAGACUAGAGUGAUGUAGGGGAGACUGGAAUUCCUGGUGUAGCGGUGAAAUGCGCAGAUAUCAGGAGGAACACCGAUGGCGAAGGCAGGUCUCUGGGCAUUAACUGACGCUGAGGAGCGAAAGCAUGGGGAGCGAACAGGAUUAGAUACCCUGGUAGUCCAUGCCGUAAACGUUGGGCACUAGGUGUGGGGGACAUUCCACGUUUUCCGCGCCGUAGCUAACGCAUUAAGUGCCCCGCCUGGGGAGUACGGCCGCAAGGCUAAAACUCAAA
rnacentral:rRNA from 2 species